rnacentral:rRNA from 1 species
AUGAGCUCGUCGACGACGUCCGGCCAGGGCGAUGACGCGCCGGGCCUGGUCUGCGUGGUGGACUGCGUGCAUGGCAUGGUCGACGCCCUCUCCUGCGUCCGCUGGAACAAGCAUCAGGGCGCGGUGGUGGAGCUGUCGGAGCACGGCAUCGUGGUCACCGUGGAGGAGAGCGGCUGCCUCCAGGCCAAGGUAUACCUCAAGACCGAGCUGUUUGCCGAGUACGACUACGGGGCGGAGGGGCGUCCACGGUUCGGCCUCAGCCUGGGGCUCCUCGUCGACUGCCUCAACAUGUUUACCGUCCCAGGGUUCGCCUCCCCUGUCGAGAUCCGGUACCCUGGCCCCGACAUGCAGCUUCUCCUCAGGUCAGUGGGGUCUCCAGAUGCAUGUAUACAUGCAGAAAUCAGAACCAGAAUUCCUGAUACUGUCGCCUGGGAUUACCAUUUUGAGCAUGCAGGGAAUACUCCAGUCACUUUUACUGUUAAGUCUGCCAUCCUGAAAGAAUCAAUUGAUGACCUUGAGUGGCCAGGCUCCAGCAUUCAGAUUCAUUUUCAUCCAGACCCCCCUUCAGUAAUAUUUAAAGGCGAAGGGCAUGGUGACUUGGAGAUUGAAUUCUCCUACUAUGCAAAUACCGAUCUUCUAAUUGCAUUCCAGUGUGACCAAGAACUGUCCUACAGGUAUAAGUACAAGUUUCUUCGUGCCACUACCUCGAAUGUUCCAAGUAGCGUCUUGAAGGAGAAUCGUGGGAUUGCAAGGCUAGGUACACAAUCCUACCAUAAUUUUGCUGGAGGGACUCAACAACCAAGCCGGAUUGCUUUUAUCGAAUUCUUUGUGAAGCCGGAGGAGGAGGAUUAA